GAUGAAGAACGUAGCGAAAUGCGAUAAGUAAUGUGAAUUGCAGAAUUCAGUGAAUCAUCGAAUCUUAGAACGCACAUUGCGCCCGCCAGUAUUCUGGCGGGCAUGCCUGUUCGAGCGUCAUUUCAACCAUCAAGCCCCAGGCUUGUGUUGGGGACCUGCGGCUGCCGCAGGCCCUGAAAACCAGUGGCGGGCUCGCUGUCACACCGGGCGUAGUAGAUUUUAUCUCGCUCAGGGCGUGCUGCGGGUUCCGGCCGUUAAAAAGCCUUUUUUACCCAAGGUUGACCUCGGAUCAGGUAGGAAGACCCGCUGAACUUAAGCAUAUCAAUAAGCGGAGGA
rnacentral:misc_RNA from 1 species